rnacentral:rRNA from 1 species
GAUGAACGCUGGCGGCGUGCCUAAUACAUGCAAGUCGAGCGAACGGACGAGAAGCUUGCUUCUCUGAUGUUAGCGGCGGACGGGUGAGUAACACGUGGAUAACCUACCUAUAAGACUGGGAUAACUUCGGGAAACCGUAGCUAAUACCGGAUAAUAUUUUGAACCGCAUGGUUCAAAAGUGAAAGACGGUCUUGCUGCCACUUAUAGAUGGAUCCGCGCUGCAUUAGCUAGUUGGUAAGGUAACGGCUUACCAAGGCAACGAUGCAUAGCCGACCUGAGAGGGUGAUCGGCCACACUGGAACUGAGACACGGUCCAGACUCCUACGGGAGGCAGCAGUAGGGAAUCUUCCGCAAUGGGCGAAAGCCUGACGGAGCAACGCCGCGUGAGUGAUGAAGGUCUUCGGAUCGUAAAACUCUGUUAUUAGGGAAGAACAUAUGUGUAAGUAACUGUGCACAUCUUGACGUUACCUAAUCAGAAAGCCACGGCUAACUACGUG